rnacentral:ncRNA from 1 species
UUGCAUAAGGCAAGUAUUACCUUAUGCAAGGGUGUAGCAAGUAGCA